ACUGGUCUACACAUGUGGUGAGCAAGGCAGACAAGGUUCCUUGAAGCUUACCUUUCAGUGGGGAGGGAAGGGGGACAGACAAAAGAAACUAGAAAUAGACAAGAUAAUUUGCGUUAGUGAUAGGUGCUAUCAGGGAAACACCUGAUAGGAGAAAAUGGAGGGAAAGCGACUAGGUAUAAUUUAGAGUCGCCAGGGCAAGGCUGUUCUGAGGAGGUGUCCUUUGACCUGAAACCUGUGGAGAAGGAGGAGCCAGCCAUGUGCACACCUGAGGGAAGAAGGAGCAGGAACUGCUCGUGAAAAGGCGCUGAAGCUGCACUGAGCUGAGCACAGAAAGGCCACUGUAGUUUCAGCUUCAGGAGGGAGGGGGAAGGUGAUGAAGUUGUCAUCAUCAGAGUAGAGGCCAAGAAUCCUGCUACUCAACCCUCAAGAGUUGGAGUCUACAACCUACCCUCUGGAAUCUGGACAGGCCUUUGUGAACACUUCAAUUAGAGUCCUCAGGACAGCAAGUGACCUCUAAAGCUGUUAGAAAACUGCAAUGGGAUGUUUGCUGUUGGAGGAACCCAGCCUGGGCAGAUCAUGGAGAGGUCCAGACACCCUCCUGAGCCCCCAGGAAUCCACUUGGUGGCUAGGUGAGUGAGUCAGUCACCUUGAAAGGAGACCUCUCAGCCUCAAAGAAGAUCCUGUAGCUGAUGCCACAGGGAGCACCAAUAAGCUACCUUUCCAAGCCCUGCCCAAACUGUAGAUUUGGGAGCAAAAUAAAAAAUUGCUGUUGCUUUAA